AUGACCGCAUACCCCCUUCCGUCUCAUCUCUCUCAACUUCUUUCUCUUGCGAUAAUUGGUCUCCGCAAUUACUUUUCGAUCUUUACCUUCAUCUCAAAUCAAACGUUUCAUCUUCAAAACAAGCCAUCAAACGAACCUCAUACACCAUGGAUCCUCGGUGACCUAUGCGCUUCAGAAGACUUGGAAAAAAGUGGAAGAAAUCGAAGAUCAAAUCUUACAUACCAGAGAGAAAUCUGGUGUUUCUUCGAUUCAGUAGCGCGUUGA
rnacentral:lncRNA from 1 species